CUUUUUCAGUUAUUCAAGGAACAUCUUAUAUGCUAAUUCAAUGUGACAAUAGCUUUAGCUUCAAGUACCCGAUGAAGCUUUGUCACUGCUCAUGGGAAUGGGUUACAAAGAAAAUGCAGCGAAAAGGGCCCUAAGAAUGACCGGUCAAGACGUUCAGCCAGCAGUUCAUUUCCUGGUUGAAGAGCAAGCUAGGAAAAUACUCAGGAAACAGGAGAACAUUCAGCGACAAGCGGAGAUUUUUUGGGAGUAUAGGAUUCCUCAGGUGCAGACAUCGAGGAAUUAGUAUCCUUGUGGUAUAACCGAUCAUCAGUUGUGGAUGCUGUGCGAAGGUCAUGUAACAAGGAUGAUG